AGAAAGGUCCAAAUGCAAAAAGAACAAAAUGACAUAAACACAAAUAAUAUGAUAUGAAAUGUUAAACAUAAAGCAUAAAAUAAAUGACAUAAAAAAUAGAGGAAUAAAGGUAAAUGACUUUGAAAUAAAAGUUAAUACAAGUAAAAUGUUAGUAAAAUAUGUUAGUAAAGAUGAAAAGAUAUUUUGGUUAUUUUUUGGAGAAC
rnacentral:lncRNA from 1 species